GCGAUGGGGGCACGAGCGGGCGGACCCUGCGCGACCCUGGGCCACACGGCGGGCGAGCGCCGCCAGCGCCUGAAAUAGCCCAUAGCCCGAAACCCGAGAGCGCGGUUUGGGGCUGGAGAGGUAGCGACCAGGGCGACCAGGGGCCCAGCACUGUGCUCCAUUGGCGGACGGCCUCCUCCUCUCUCCAGCCCCAUCCCCACCAAGGCAGGGUGGAGGCUGGGCUGCCAGGCAGAAGCGGAGGUCGGCUUCUGCAGAGGGGAGAGGGGACAGCCACACUGGGGGAGAUAGCCCCCCUAGACCGGCCAGCGGAGGAGGCUGGAGUUGGGCAGCCUGGGCCGCUGGGGCGGUGGGAGGGCCCUGCCUGCAGCUGCUUGAGAACAGAGUUCAGUGAGCAGGGGAAGGACAUCUUCCAUGCAGCGCACGUGAAGAGCGCUGGACCUCCCUGACAGGUGAUCGUGCUCCUGAAGAAGAUGGGAAAGCUUGGAGUGAAGAGCGAAGCCUACUGGGUCACAGUGCCCAGCCUGGCCAACUGCCUGCUCAUGCUGGCCUACAAAGACAAGUCGGAGCGCGCCAAGGGCCUCCGGGAACGCAGCAGCCUGACCCUGGAGGACAUCUGUGGCCUAGAGCCAGGCCUGCCCUACGAGGGCCUGCCCCACACACUGGCCAUCAUCUGCCUGUCCCAAGCCGUCAUGCUGGGCUUUGACAGCCGAGAGGCCAUGUGCGCCUGGGACGCCCGGAUCCGCUAUGCACUUGGCGAGGUGCACAGGUUUCAUGUGACAGUGGCGCCAGGCACCAAGCUGGAGAGCGGCCCAGCCACCCUGCACCUCUGCAAUGACGUCCUCGUCUUGGCCAGGGACAUCCCCCCGACCGUCACGGGGCAGUGGAAGCUGUCUGAUCUCCGGCGCUACGGGGCUGUGCCCAACGGAUUCAUCUUCGAGGGCGGGACCAGGUGUGGGUACUGGGCCGGAGUCUUCUUCUUGUCCUCUGCCGAGGGGGAGCAGAUUAGCUUUCUGUUCGACUGCAUCGUCCGAGGCAUCUCACCCACCAAGGGCCCCUUUGGGCUGCGGCCAGUUCUUCCAGACCCAAGCCCUGGGGGGCCCUUAGCCUUGGAGGAACGUGUGACCCAGGAAGCCCUGGAGGCUCUGCAGCUGGAGAAGCGGCUCAGUCUGCUGGCGCCCUCAGCCCGGCCAGGCAGUGCAGGGGACGACCGCAGCCUGUCCAGUUCUUCCUCAGAGGCCAGCCACUCAGACGUCAGCGCCAGCAGUCGGCUCACCACGUGGCCGGAGCAGUCCUCAUCCUCUGCCUGCACGUCGCAGGAGGGGCCGGGGCUGACGGCUGCCCAGGCGCCAGGAGAAGCUGCGCUGGGCGCCUCUAGGCCACCCCCCAAACCGCUCCGGCCACGGCAACUGCAGGAGGUUGGCCGCCAGAGCUCAUCAGACAGCGGCAUCGCUACAGGCAGCCACUCCUCCUACUCUGGCAGCUUCUCCUCCUACGCAGGCAGCAGCCUGGACAUGUGGCGGGCUGGCGACGAGUUCGGUUCGCUGCUCAGCUUGCCACCAGCUGCCGGGGUACUGGAGCCCAGCCUUUGUGCCUGCCCACCUGGGGCAGCCGAGUACCAGGUGCCUGUGGGACUGCGGCCUCACUAUGACACGCCCCGCAGCCUGCGCCAGUCUCCCAGGGACCAGAGUCCGGCCUCCCAGGGCAGCCCCGACGACACUGUGGCCAGGGACUCGGGCAGCCAGACAUCCACUGGGUGUCCUUCAGGCUGGCUGGGUGCAAGAUGGCAGGGACAGGCGACAGAGGCCCCCCCAGGCAGUGAGGCCGUGCUGCCCAGCCCAGCCUCUGGCGAUCCCUGGAGUGCCAGCGACCCCCAUGCUGGGCCAUCUCCAGCUUUCUUUUCGACAUGUCCAGUUUGUGGAGGACUCAAGGUAAAACCCCCUCCCUGAGAGCCGGAGACCAGGCCUUGCGGCUGUGAGGGGCUGGACUGUGUCCCUCCAGAGGGAAGAGGAGGCAGCGCUGGCCUCCUCACAGAGGGUGCUCCAUGUGCUGGGCCAGGCCUGAGGCUGGGAGUGACCAACCAGGGUCAUCCUCCCCUGGGAGGGGAGCCUUGGGGUGGACCUGUGGAUACCAGUAGGGAGCUAACUUGGAGAGCGAGUUCUGGAAGGCACGGGCUGGGCCGAAGCCAGCUUGCAGGGCCCCUGCCCCCCCACCAUCAAGUGCCAGCUCAGGCCAUGUGUGGAGCCCUGCUGCCCAGCCCCUUGGGGGGCAACUGAUUCUCAUAUCCCUCCCUGUCCCCUCCAUAGUUCAUGGUUGUACCACAUGCUAAAAACUAAACCAGCCGUGGCAGCUACGGACACCUGCCCCCACCCACCACAGAACCCCAGGCUGUGUGUGCAUUUGCCCUGGCCCAGCCCCCACGAGGGUGCAGCGUCCCCAUCCAUAAAUAAACCAGCCGUGGCAGCUGCAGACACCCGCACCCUCCCACCCCACAGCACCCCAGGCUGUGUGUGCACUUGCCCUGGGCCAGCCCCCACGAGGGUGAAGCGUCCCCAUCCAUUACUAAACCAGCCGUGGCAGCUGCGGAUACCCGCACCCCCCACCACAGCACCCCAGGCUGUGUGUGCACUUGCCCUGCCCCAGCCCCCACGAGGGUGCAGCGUCCCCAUCCAUGGAGAGGAAACCAAAGCUCAGGAGGCUUGUGACUGGCGGAGGCGGUCCCCCUCGCAGCCCCUGCAGGGCUCUGGGGGUUUAGUGUCCUCAGAGCAACCCACCUUCUGCAAUCUGACCCAGGCUCGUACAGGUCAGUGGCCAGAGGGUCCUGCCUGGCACUCUCCUGGAGGGCAGGACUGAGGGGAGACAUCCGGGCUCCAAGGACUGCACUGGCCUUGGGAGAGGCUCCAGGCCCUGCCCGUGGUCACCAGCCUGGAGCUUGGUCUGUGUGCGGCCCCUGCUCCUGCACUGGCCUAUGUCCACCCAUGCUGGACCCACUGCUCGGCUCUGAGUCCUGCUUUCUGGGUCCCACAGUCUCUCUGUAACUGUCUUCGUACUUUACUGUUGACUGACGACGUCGUUCUUUUUCAUUCUAAGACUUGACGCUGUUUGUGAUACGUUCUCAGACUGGAAAUAAAACGUCUU